rnacentral:rRNA from 1 species
UAUACAAGGUGCUGCAUGGUUGUCGUCAGCUCGUGCCGUGAGGUGUCGGGUUAAGUCCCAUAGCGAGCGCAACCCCUAUCAUUAGUUGCCAUCAGGUCAAGCUGGGGACGUCUAAAGGAACUGCCUACGCAAGAGUGAGGAAGCGGGGAUGACGUCAAAUCAGCAGGCCCUUACGUCCAGGGCUACACACGUGCUACAAUGGCCGAUACAGAGGGCAGCUACCUGGUGACAGGAUGCAAAUCUCCAAAGUCGGUCUCAGUUCGGAUCGGAGUCUGCAACCCGACUCCGUGAAGUUGGAUUCGCUAGUAAUCGCGCAUCAGCCAUGGCGCGGUGAAUACGUUCCCGGGCCUU